rnacentral:lncRNA from 1 species
UGAAAUCCCACUGCUGCUGCGUCCUCCCCUCCUGCUGCUUGCGCUCGAGGCUUUCAAUGAAGUCGCAGAGAAACCUGACUCUGAGCAGACACCAAACCGAGGCGAGGGGCUCCAGGGUCUUAUUACAAUUCUCCUUCACCACCCUCUACCGCCUCCACUAUCUGAUGCCGUGCAAAUGUUCCCAGGCUCCAAGAAGGCUUCGCCUUGCUCGGUCCCAUCUCUGAUUUCCAUGGUGCAUCAGAAAAGAAGAGGAUGACUUCUCUGACCCCCCCUGCUGUUGCCAGUGUCAGUGCUAUUGUGGGGAACUCAUCCACG